rnacentral:rRNA from 1 species
UACGAAGGGUGCAAACGUUGCUCGGAAUUAUUGGGCGUAAAGCGCACGUAGGCGGCUUUUCAAGUCCCAUGUGAAAUCCCACGGCUUAACCGUGGAAGUGCAUGGGAAACUGGAAAGCUUGAGUACUUAAGAGGAUCGCGGAAUUCCCGGUGUAGAGGUGAAAUUCGUAGAUAUCGGGAGGAACACCAGUGGCGAAGGCGGCGAUCUGGGAAGAUACUGACGCUGAGGUGCGAAAGCGUGGGGGAGCAAACAGG